GACAGAGGGUGCAAACGUUGUUCGGAAUUACUUGGCGUAAAGCGCGCGUAGGCGGACCUGCAAGUCGGGGGUGAAAGCCCGAGGCUCAACCUCGGAACUGCCUUCGAUACUGCGGGUCUCGAGUCCGGGAGAGGUGAGUGGAAUUCCUAGUGUAGAGGUGAAAUUCGUAGAUAUUAGGAAGAACACCAGUGGCGAAGGCGGCUCACUGGCCCGGUACUGACGCUGAGGCGCGAAAGCGUGGGGAGCAAACAGGG
rnacentral:rRNA from 1 species